rnacentral:rRNA from 1 species
GUCCUAGCCCUAAACGGUGCAUGUUUGCUGUAAGAGGAAUCGACCCCUUUUGUGGCGAAGCUAACGCGUUAAACAUGCCGCCUGGGAAGUACGGCCGCAAGGUUAAAACUCAAAGAAAUUGACGGGGGCCUGCACAAGCGGUGGAGUAUGUGGCUUAAUUCGAUGCAACGCGAAGAACCUUACCUGGCCUUUACAUGCAAGUAGUAGAACCGUGAAAGCGGGACGAGGUAGCAAUACCAGCUUGCACAGGUGCUGCAUGGCUGUCGU